GAAUCAAACAGGUGCAGUGGUUAGUAUGACUGCCUGCCACGCAGAAGGUUCCGGGUUCAAUUCCCGGUUGGGUCA